rnacentral:rRNA from 1 species
CAGUCGCCGCGGUAAUACGGAGGGGGCUAGCGUUGUUCGGAAUUACUGGGCGUAAAGCGCACGUAGGCGGCUAUUCAAGUCAGAGGUGAAAGCCCGGGGCUCAACCCCGGAAUUGCCUUUGAAACUAGAUAGCUUGAACACGGGAGAGGUGAGUGGAAUUCCGAGUGUAGAGGUGAAAUUCGUAGAUAUUCGGAAGAACGCCAGUGGCGAAGGCGGCUCACUGGACCGUUGUUGACGCUGAGGUGCGAAAGCGUGGGGAGCAAACAGGAUUAGAUACCCGCGUAGUCCCUGUCUCUUAUAA